AUCGUAAAACCGUCCACCCACUCUUUACUCUCCCUCUCCAUAUUAUUGAGUUAUUUUUUAGCUUCACAUGCCUUAAAUUUAAAUUUUUGUUUCUUUGUGCACAAUUUUUUUUUCUCACAGUUAUACCCCUUUUUUCCGGAUCGCAGGUCAGCGACGGGCGGUCGAGCGGCGAUUGCAGGUCGGCGGCGCGCGGCCGCCGGCUUGGGCUUCCUCGGCGCGUCGGGCGGCAGGCGGCGGGGUCCCUCCAGCUUCCUCCGACGGCGGGCGACAAUGACGCCCUGUUUCAGCGGCGUGCGACGGGCUCGACGGGGCCAUCCAUUGCCUGGAUCCGGCGGCGGCGGCCGUCCCUCGCCCGGCCCCGCACAGAUCCACUAGCGGUUGCGGGAGGAGAGCCCAGGGGUAGACUCGGCGAUGGCUGGCGGACAACGGUCGUGCACCGCGUGGAGUCCGGCGGCGGCGGGCGGCGUAGCCGCUCACUUCUUUCUGCCCACUGCCGUCAUCGUGGUUGUCCUUCACCAGCUCGCCGUGAGGCCGCCGCCCUCUGCCCACACCGCCGCCGAUGGACGUCGACUCUGACUCGGCCGCCGGGGGCAAGCCCACCCAGAUGGACCUCGAGGACUAGGUUUGACAGCUGGUUUCAUAUUUUAAGAUACCACUCAGUCAAAUUCUUGUGGUAAAUAUUGUCAAUUUUACAGUAAUUUUGCUUUUGCAUUUGUAUUUUUUUCAUCAUUGAGUUCUCCCAGGAGCUUUUUCUACUUGAGAUUUAGCUUUUGUUCUAAAACUUUGGGAUAAACAGAGCAAUUUAAGUGGAAUUGUUCUCGUGAUUUUGUUGCCAGCCUAUCUAAAAUACAUUUUGUUUUCUGAGCAGUACAGAUGCAUGAGCAGUACAUACUUCUGCGGCAGUAAACGCAGAUAUGUCCAUGAUGAAUUUUCGGGCUCUGAUUCAUUGAUAGUGCUAGUUAUAUCAGAACUUAUUUGAUGGACUAGCUGUUCACAUCUGAUGCAUUUGUUGCAUUUCUGGGCCUUUUGUGUUCUCAAUGAACAAAUAUGUUUAAAUGGAAUCCUCUUAUACAUGUGUCCUCAAUGAUUUUCUCUGUAGAUUUUAAGAAAAAAAUUGUUGUUAGGCUAGUAGUUUUCUGAAUUUUUCUGCUUCAACAAAGGAGGUCGAAUGAUGCCUGAAAUGCUGAACUUCUGUUUUUUUAGUACUGCCACAUGAGCACUGAAAUUGUCUAGUUCAAUAGAGCAUUGUUGAUCGGUUAGUAUUUUUCUGAAAUUCCCUAGUUCUUGUAGAGCAGCACAAAUGAAUUUUCUUUGAUCCUUCACUGAAUCAUUUAGCCAUAUCCUUCAUUGAAUCUGUAGAGCUGUUUUUUCAUCUCAUUUGUGUGGUUCUGUUAGUACUUUAAUUAAAUCGAAGUCAGGGCAUAUUCUCUAACAAUUGUGGCUAGAUGUUCCUUUGCGCUGAACCUAUUGUUGUUGCUUAAACAUCAAGGUAUUCCUUAGUCUCCUUUGCUCUCUGACUAUGUAUUCCAGAUAAAUUUAGAGCUGCUAUGGCACUUGUGAAGAGUGACAUUGGUGGUAAUAUCACGGUAAGCAUGCUUUUUUGCACGACACUUAAUAGUACAUUGUGUUGCUUUCCUCAUUUUCAUUAGUAAAUUUCUGUAGUUAUCUACUCCGUAUGUGAUAGAUGCAUGAAUCAUAUUUACUUUAGUCAGAUUUGCUUACCUAGAAGUUUGUGAUAGAAGCGGCUCAGGUGAAAUUCAAGGAGGCGACAGGCUUGACGCGAUGGGCAGCAUUGCACUAAGGGCUACCGCGCCGAGCAUGUCGUCUGGAGGCCAUGUCGCUGACCCGAGUCCGGAAGGUUUUAUUGCUGGCCUCUUUGGUGAUUCAAGCUCUGCAUAUCGCCUGACGGUCAGGUCGGCGGAGGCAGGUGCCUUCCACCUGGUGCACGUUCGUGGGAACCACCUGAGAACAUCAUCAACAGUCUUCCUUUUGAAUGUCGACAUUGUUCUAUCGCCAGAAUCAAUUGUUUUUCUUCUGAGUAAUUUUUUUACUUCUAGAUUAACUGUGUAACAUUUUACUGGUGGAUCAUAUGAUCCACUGUAAAGGCUCCUUGUAGUUUUCAGACUCACAAAGUCAAAUGAUCCGGUGAGAUUUUUUAUUAUAUAAUGUAAUAAUAUGCAUGGCAAAUAAACGUAUUGUGAUGGUUGAUAAUUUUCUA